rnacentral:rRNA from 1 species
GAUGAACGCUGGCGGCGUGCCUAAUACAUGCAAGUCGAGCGAAUGGAUUAAGAGCUUGCUCUUAUGAAGUUAGCGGCGGACGGGUGAGUAACACGUGGGUAACCUGCCCAUAAGACCGGGAUAACUCCGGGAAACCGGGGCUAAUACCGGAUAACAUUUUGAACCGCAUGGUUCGAAAUUGAAAGGCGGCUUCGGCUGUCACUUAUGGAUGGACCCGCGUCGCAUUAGCUAGUUGGUGAGGUAACGGCUCACCAAGGCAACGAUGCGUAGCCGACCUGAGAGGGUGAUCGGCCACACUGGGACUGAGACACGGCCCAGACUCCUACGGGAGGCAGCAGUAGGGAAUCUUCCGCAAUGGACGAAAGUCUGACGGAGCAACGCCGCGUGAGUGAUGAAGGCUUUCGGGUCGUAAAACUCUGUUGUUAGGGAAGAACUAGUGCUAGUUGAAUAAGCUGACACCUUGACGGUACCUAACCAGAAAGCCACGGCUAACUACGUGCCAGCCGCCGCCGUAA